UUGUUUCGAUAUUGAGGCGUCAGACUGGGACUGACGGGGAGUAAUACCCGAUGCCACCCUGAAAUGGGUAGCAAUCGAUCUCCUGCAAAAACUCAACACAGAUUAGCUCUGCUACACAAUAUCAAACG
rnacentral:sRNA from 18 species